rnacentral:rRNA from 1 species
UUGACGGGACCGCACAAGCAGCGGAGCGUGUGGUUUAAUUCGAUGCUACACGAAGAACCUUACCAGGGUUUGACAUGCAAGUGGUAGUGAUCUGAAAAGUGAACGACCCUUCGGGGAGCUUGCACAGGUGCUGCAUGGCUGUCGUCAGCUCGUGUCGUGAGAUGUUCGGUUAAGUCCGCUAACGAGCGCAACCCUCACUGUGUGUUAUAUGUGUCACACGGGACUGCCGGUUUUAAGCCGGAGGAAGGUGGGGAUGACGUCAAAUCAUCAUGCCCCUUAUGUUCUGGGCUACACACGUGCUACAAUGGCCGGUACAGGCGGACGCAAAGCCGCGAGGUGGAGCAAAUCCUAAAAAGCCGGUCUCAGUUCGGAUUGCAGGCUGCAAUUCGCCUGCAUGAAGUCGGAAUUGCUAGUAACCGCAGGUCAGCAAUACUGCGGUGAAUACGUUCCCGGGUCUU